rnacentral:rRNA from 1 species
UACGUAGGGGGCAAGCGUUGUUCGGAUUUACUGGGCGUAAAGGGCGCGUAGGCGGACAGUUUAGUCAGAGGUGAAAGCCCAGGGCUCAACCUUGGAAUUGCCUUUGAUACUGGCUGUCUUGAGUUCGGGAGAGGUGAGUGGAAUGCCGAGUGUAGAGGUGAAAUUCGUAGAUAUUCGGCGGAACACCAGUGGCGAAGGCGACUCACUGGCCCGAUACUGACGCUGAGGCGCGAAAGCGUGGGGAGCAAACAGG